rnacentral:snRNA from 1 species
UGAGAUAAGUAAAAUAACUCAUUUUCUUCUCCCCACUCAAUGUGUUUUCCUUUUAAAACACCUGCAUGCUUGGUCAAAGAAGAAGACCUUCCCUGAUAGUGGAAGUCCAUUUUUGGGCAAGGGCUUGUGUGUAGCUGGGCUCCCCUGCUAGAAGACUCUAUAGAAGGUUAAGUUCAGCACUCUCACCGUUCUACAGAGAUGAAGACUCAGCCUAACCUAAGCUGAACUCACAGUCUUCUU